AAUGAUAUUCUGCCAACCUCAUAGAUCAGUGAUUGCCUAGUCCAAUUGUCAUCAGAGAGGCUUCAUCCAGCAACUGAUGGGAGCAGAUCCAGAGACCCUCAGCCAAGCAUUAGGCAGAGCUCAAGGAAUUCAGCAGAAGACAGGAGGCUGAAACUGAAGGACAAACAGAGCCUGGGAUAAACAGGACUGUCCAUAUGGGUCCAUUUGAGGUGUCUGCCGACAUGCGGGAUAAAGAUCCCAUGUGUGUGUGUGUAGUCACUAAGUGAUGGAUAGAAAACCAGAUGAAGUCGAUCAACAAGAUGCAGACUAUCGCUUGCAGUGCUAAGAACAGGAAGACUAUAAAAGUGGUUUUGAGAAACCGUAAGAAAAUUAGAGGUUGGACUUGACGGUGAGAAGAGGAACUAUUUGGAGGUCAUGGGAUGUCUUUCCUCAUGAACCUGAAGUUUCAUAUGUCAGAUGGGAAUCAGACAUUCAGAGACGGAAGAAGUGAUACUGAACACAAUGCAAAUGCUGGCUGCUCCAUUAAAGAGCCUUCCCCUGCAAUUGCCGAGCUUCUCAUGAAACGCCAUGUUCAAUAGUUCUUUUAAAAUACAAUUUAUGCUUGCUUAAUAAAAUUAAGUUGUAUUUCCCCUGCAUUUACAGUAUAUUCAGGAGGUGCUAAAUAAAACUCAGUAUUCCUGAUUCUGAAAAAGGCUUUUGUACAAUUGCCUUCCUUCUAGUGAGCACAAGGUGGCGCUCUUCUCUAGACUAAAAGCUUCCUCAAAAGACAUGGCCAAGGCUUGAAAAAGUUGACAACAAAGGAAUUUUCAUCCAUUCAAUUUCUGUAUGUCAUAAAAGGCUUCUAGGUUUUCAUUUUAAAGAAGGAAGGGUGGAGGAGAGGAUUAGGAAAAGAGGAAGGAAGGAAGGA